GAGAGCCUCCAAUCAAUACUGCACAGAACAGAUCCAAUGCGCAGCAGAGCCGUGCUCAGAUAAAGUAACGUUACAUUGAUCGGCGCUGAUUUAAUUUGAGGCGAGCACCGCUUAUUGAUUCAGUUGUCAGGCUGAUUCUACAGAGCAAGCACUGCACUAGCAACCUUUUAGUUAAUGGUAUCUAAAGUAAAAGCUUUAUUAAGUUAUGCUCAAUUUUAGAUGCCGAUAUUAUGCAUUGCCUUAAAUGAGUGUGUGCAGAACUACCCAACAGCUGUCCUUCGGGCACCGAUGCUGCUCUCAAGCAUCUCCCACAUGCACAGCUGACCCCACGCUGUGCGUACGGGCGGUGUUUGCUGGGUGUCACCAAUAACCCCUCAGGCUGGGGAAGCGCUGCUGUGGCCUCCGGUCCCCCAAACCCUGCCGGGUACCACUCUCGCAGUCAGGUGGCGGCGGUGGUACUGUGAGUGAGUGCGGGUGUCGGCAGGGCGUGAGGGCUGUGUCCGGGCUGGGGGCGGCCGCCUCGCCCUCCCCACCGGGCAGAGCUGCGGGCCGGGCCGAGCAGUGUCUGCACCCGGAGCGGGGCAAGAGCCGAGGGCGCAGCGCUGCGGGCCGGGCCGGGCCGGGCUGGGCGGCGGGGGCUGGGGCUCCGUACCGCGGCCGCAGCGAUUGGCAGAGCUGAGCAGCGCCGUCCAGGAAACGGCUCGGGUUGCAGCGGGGGGAGUGACCAGGGGAGGAGGGAGGAAGGAGUCGGAGGAGCGUGCGGAGUGAGAGAGAGAGAGAGAGGGAGGGGGAAAAAGAAGGAAAAAAAAAAAAAAAGGAGGGGGGUUGUCGGCUUGACAAAGCUGCGGCGGCACGGGGAGGGCGGCUGGAUGGAGCGGAGCAGGACCCGCGGCGAUGCCCGCGCGGGGGAGGAGGCUGCUGGCGCCGGGCACGGCGGGCUCGCCCCUGUGAGGCGGUAGCGCCGCAGCGCAGCGAGGGGACGGGACGCCGGGCGGGCUCCUGCCUCGCCGCCCCGCCGCCGCCAGCCCCGCGCCCCGCGGGGGAUGCGCCGCGCUGCCCUGCGGGGCCCCCAGCCCGCCCCGCCGGGGCUGCCCGCCGAGUGAGCGCGGCCGCGGAGCGCUUCGUCCCCCCGUGCCGCGGAGCCGCCGCUCGGCGCCUCGCCUCGGCGGAGCCUUCCCGCGGAGUCCUCCGGCUGCAGCCACCACUGUUCCCGGUGAGGAGGGAUUGCCCUGGCCGAAGGCACUGCGUUCUGUCCAUGCUCCUGUAGAGGUGCUCAGAUGGGAUUAAAGUCCACAUGGAGAUAUGGAAACGGACCAGGAACUUACUCUAAAAAGAUGGUCAGCUGGGAUUUGUGUUGCCUUAUCUGCCUGGUGGUGGUCACCAUGGCUGGACUUUCCCUGGCUCGACCGUCAUUUAACUUAGUUGUUGAAGAUGCCACUUUGGAACCCGAAGGUAAAUCAUUCUAGAGUACUUAAGUCUGCAAAAGGAGUUAAUUUUAAAUACGUCAACAUCUGAAAUUGAAGUCUACAGCUUUAUGUGCGUUGGUAAAUAGAAGGCAAGUAACAGAUUUGCCCUCAAGAAUUAUGUUUUCCAACUUUUCCUAUUCACACGCGGACUGUGUUCAUGCAAGCAUGCGUUUAUUUAAUCUUGUGCAAGCAGUGGUGUCAGUGAUUUCACUUGGGACUGUCAUCGCGUUGUAUAAUCACAGCGUACAGCUGAAAGCUUUCAGGAGUGGGUCUUUAAGGAAACCUGCUGCGCUUAUGUACCUGUUAUGUAUUGCUCAAGAAAGGACACUGCUGGGUAGCUGUACGUCACUGUGAUUUGAACUACCUGGAAAGCUGGGAGGAAAAGGAAAGGCCAGUUGUUUUUAAUCAUGCACCCUGAUUGUUUAGCUUAGCAGGGCACUCUGCAAAGGCAGGUGUCACAGCCCUGUUGGUGUUUGUGGCUGGUUGCUAUAAAUUUCCCUAUUGUUGUUAAUGUCCAAGAACAAUCAGUACGCUGUCUGGAUCGCAGGGUCUGGAAGUGCACAUGAGGAGAUCUGAAUAGUAAGGAGAGAUUAUUGCUGUGAAAGCAAAAACUAAUUGGAACCUUUGCACUGAAAGAGACGUUCCGAUAAAAUCUCCUACUUUGAGCCUGCACCUGUUGGUAUGUUCUUGUAGGUCAUCCCACCCUCAAACUUCCCAAAGUGUUCUUCUUUAUAGAGCUAAGGAAGGGCUGCUUUUCUUGUUGUCCUGAGCCACUUGUAUUGUGAUUUUAUGGAGAGCGUAGGAUCAUCUCUGCCCGCUGAACACCCUGGGGAAAAGCAAGGCUUCCUUCUUAUAGUUUUACUCGUCAUUCGGAGGUCUGAUUGCAUUUCUAUUAACCGUCAAAACAAUGUAAUAACCCAUAAAACGUAUUUCAUCAGGCAAGCUUUCUGAGGGGAAUUUGUCCUAUACAUGUCCUGCUACCCAUGUCCAGGGAUACAGCCUUGUUUUUAUUUAAUCCAUUUUCAUGCAAAACGUAUUUGUUUCUAUCCGCUGCCUCUAAAAAUAGACGUCACCAGCUAACGCAUUUCUAGAAUCUCUUCCAAGUACAUUUUUAUUGAUGGCAGGGGAAAAAUUAUUUAGAGACGAUGAGCCCUCCUCCCUAGCAAGCAUUCCUGAAAAAAAUUAAUGCAAUAGCAAUAUUGUCAUCUCUCAUGGACAGAGACUGUUGAUAGCGAAGCCUUUUUGGUUCGUCCCCUCCCCUUUUGAAGGUAACAUGAGAAUUUGAGAAAGCUCAACUCUCAUCACCACUUACUGUAUGAUUUGUUAAUUGCACAUCUGGUGCCUUUUUGGCUUUUCAGGGGAGUGACAAAAUCAGGGAUAAUUCUGGUUUCAGAUGAGCUGCUUAUAGGGAGGUCCGCUAGUUUUAGGGGUAAAUGGGGAAGAACGCGAUUGCAUGAAUCCUGCAGGGAGAAGGGUUAACAUUUUUGACUUAUGCCUUAAUAGUUUUCUUUUAAAAAUAUGCUUCUUCCAUGAGGAAUAUCCAGUGGGUGAGGAAUAUCCAAUGGGUGAGAAAGUGUAAAUUGCUAAGAACUACUGAAAACUUCUUCCCUGGGCAGGAAUGUUAACUUACAUGAGAUAAUUUUAGACGUAAGAACUUGAAUCAUGACCAGAACGGGGGAAAAAGAGCUUCUCAGUUAAUGGUAUAAUAUUAAUGGUAUAAUAAGAGCUUUUAUGCUGUAGAAUACAGGCAAGCGUGUGGGAUUUAUAUCUGAGAUUUGGGAAAUAAAACCUCUUUUAUGUACUUUGUUAAACCCUUCUCUAAAAAAAAAAAAUACCCACUCUUUACUGAAUCACCUUCAUUGGUUCCAUCACUGCCACCCACAAGCUCUCCGUGCUGAAAGGAGAACAAAACGCUCUUUUAAAAAAUCUCUUCAAAGACAAAGCUGACUUUUAUUGUUGCUAUUUUUUUAAUUUAGUGAAUGCCAAACAUUUUGGUCACAGCUAAUUUGAGGCAGUCAGGUGCUCCAAAAACGUAUGCGUUUGGUCGGGUUGCUGACUGAGCAGUCAUUAGAGCAGUGACAUUUUGGACCAGCUGAGAAGGUCGCCAGGACUGUGACCUUUUGUGACAUACUUUGAUCUGUUCCUUAGUCUUCCUUCGUGGACAUGCCCUGGAUUUUGUCUUUUUUUGGUGCUAAGUGCUUGUAUUGUUGUUCUUUAUUGUCUUAGUGACUCAGAAUAUUCAAGAAGCUGCAUGCAAUGUUAACAGGAAUUGAGAUUGUGGCUUUUGUUCCUUUGGCUGUAAUAAAUAAGCCCUGGUUGACAUACAGUCAUCUCUUAGCUAAACACAACUUUAGGGACAUUGCAACCACAUUUUUCAGGGUCUGUAGUUCAAUACAUGCUUUAGCACAAGCAGCAUUCAUCUCUCGGGGUGAUCAGCUGCAUAGCUGUGUGUACACGUGCACUGAGGUGCUUUGCUUUGUUACCUGCAGUACAUCUGAUCCCUUUGGUAGCACCCUUUUCUGAGCUGCUUUCAUACAGCGUUGGGCUCUGGAUCUGAUCUGUGCCCAUUUGCUGUUACUCGGAUGUGUAAAGAUGUUUACGCUGAAGAGGGUAUCUUGAGCUAUAGUAAACUAUAGUGUCAAUAUUGAUAUCGUGGAUGCUCGCUAAGGGCUGGGUCCUGGGUCUGUUUAUCGUUGGUUGCAGUGCUUUCUUUCUUAUCCUGUGAUGGCAAGAUCAAGGCUGAGGUGGUGUAAGCAGAAGCAGGACCUGUAGGAGCUGGUUUGGAGAGUGUCAGCAAUCGAUUUCUGCCUUGUAUCAAGUGUUUACAGAUAUGUUUUUUAUCCCGGGGAGCACAAAGACUUUCUGCUUUUAAAUAUUUAGAAAUGAGUCUGCCUCAGCGUGCAUAAAGGAGCCAUUCUCUUUCUGUGUACCCAGCCCGUGAAGGCCUUUGACAGCCAACGUUACAAAAGGGCUUUGACCGCACACAUGGCUUGAAGGGUUACUUUGUGAACUGAAUAAUUAGUUUAGACAUAAAUUUGAUAAAUAGCAAGCUCUCCCUUGACCUUUCCUUGCCCAGGCUGUGUGUUAUCGUUCUGCUGGGCAGCUAAUUUAGCUUCUUCCCCAUCCAGUGAUGCUGGCCUUGGAGUGCCCGCUCGGAGCCCUCGCCUGGUGCAAUAACAACGUGUUUCAGUUCUUUUAAUUUAGGUCAAAUUUCAAAGGACUAAUUUAAGCUUUCCACAUGGGACAGCCUAAUUCUGUGUCCUGUGAAAUAAAACAUCAUGGUUUAAAAUGGCCCUGAAUGCUUGUUUGGGAAUCUGCUAGGAGCUGAGGUGAGCGAGGCCUUCUGUCAUGGGUUGCAUGCUGAUGUCGGACUCCUGAGCGACUAAAGGUUUGUCACCUGAGCUUUACCUCAGUUCCUGGACACUGAACAACAUGCAAACACGCUUGGUGUGGUACCCAGAGGAGUAUGGAGCUUUUUGUAAACACUGCUUUAUCCGCAGGCUUGGAGGGUAGCGUUGCAGGUGGUCACAGCAUGGUGAGCUGAUCGGGGAUGCUUUGUUAAGCGUUGUGCCCCACCUGAUGAGGUCAUGGGGUCCUGCAGGGUGUCUCUCAGGAACCAUUCUAUGAUG
ensembl:lncRNA